AUGGAGGCUCCCCAUAUCAUCGUGGGUACCCCUGGCCGUGUGUUUGAUAUGCUUAACCGGAGAUACCUGCCUCCCAAAUACAUCAAGAUGUUUGUACUGGACAAAGCUGAUGAAAUGUUAAGCUGUGGAUUCAAGGACCAGAUCUAUGACAUAUUCCAAAAGCUCCACAGCAACACCCAGGUAGUUUUGCCGUCAGCUACGAUGCCUUCUGAUGUGCUUGAGGUGACCAAGAAGUUCAUGAGGGACCCCAUUCGGAUUCUUGUCAAGAAGGAAGAGUUGACCCUGGAGGGUAUCCGCCAAUUCUACAUCAACGUAGAACGAGAAGAGGGGAAGCUGGACACACUGCGUGACUUGUAUGAAACCCUGACCAUCACCCAGGCAGUCGUCUUCCUCAACACCCGAAGGAAGGUGGACUGGUUCACCAAGAAGAUGCAUGCUGGGGAUUUCACUGUCUCGGCCAUGCGUGGAGAUACGGACCAAAAAGAACGAGACGCGAUCAUGAGGGAGUUUGCUUCUGGCUCUAGCAGAGUUUUGAUUACCACUGACCUGCUGGCCAGAGCCAUUGAUGUGCAGCAGGUUCCUUUAGUCAUCAACUACGACCUUCCCACCAACAGGGAAAACAUUUCCACAGAACGAGCCGAGGCGGACAGUUUGGCCGUAAAGGUGUGGCUAUUCACAUGGUGACAGAAGAAGACAUCGAGACCUUCUACCACACCUCCAGGAGGAAAUGCGCCUCAGUGUUGCUGACCUCUCCUGAGGGGCUGUCCUGCUUCCUAGCCCCAGCCAGAGUUCAAUCUUGGGGGGCUGAGGAGCAGCAGGGGUGGGGGAGGGAAGGAAGCCAAAGGAUGGACAUCUUGUCAUUUUUUUUUCUUUGAAUAAAUGUCACUUUUUGAGGCAAAAAAAAGAAC